rnacentral:lncRNA from 1 species
CCAUCAGAGAAUGUAAUGGAAUCCAUUUGCUGCAAAUCCAUCAAUACUAAGUUCAUAGAAACAGUUCCAGGAUACCACGCCACAAAGCAUACAAUUCAGCUUACCUCUACCCUUAAUAGCUCUGAGUGUUUCAACUUCUCCCCAUCCAAGUGCAGUUGUAAGUGUUCCAACUCAGCUUGGAGUUCUGCCUCGAGCUGAUCCAUUGCUUCUUCUGAACACUCUUCUUUUUCAGGUGGUUCGCACUUCAAAGACUGAUCAACCGCUGAAACUGUUGAGGACUCCGGUAUGUAUUGAGAUUCAAACUGUGGCCCAUGUGGAGAAUCAGUGUCACAGUACGCAAACAUAUCAUUUGGUUUCGACAGCUUAGAGAUAUUGCUUUUAUUAAUCAAUUCUUCGCUGGUAUUUUGGAGGAGGGUUUCCAUUUCCAAUUCAUCAGGAGGAACUCCACAAUCUGUGUCUACAUCGUGAGGUUGAAG